AAGACCCCGUGAACCUUUACUAUAGCUUGACACUGAACACUGGUCCUUGAUGUGUAGGAUAGGUGGGAGGCUUUGAAGUGUGGACGCCAGUCUGCAUGGAGCCGUCCUUGAAAUACCACCCUUUAAUGGCUGGUGUUCUAACGUGGGCCCGUAAUCCGGGUUGCGGACAGUGUCUGGUGGGUAGUUUGACUGGGGCGGUCUCCUCCUAAAGAGUAACGGAGGAGCACGAAGGUCAGCUAAUCCUGGUCGGACAUCA
rnacentral:rRNA from 1 species